GAAAUGGCUUUGGCAUAUAUGGUUUCGUAUGACAACAUAUUUGUUUCACUGGUUUAUCGUAUUUUGAAAAAAUAAUUUUGAGGGCCAAAUAUAAUACUCCAGUAAAAUAGCCAUGCAUCUUAGCAGGGCUAAAUCUUUUCUUAUAGUUACGAGAAUUGUAUAAAGUAUAUUAAUUAAACUUGUAAAAAUAGACGGCACAUUCAAAAUUUAAAAUCAAAAUACUAUUGACCGACUCAAAUCAAUUAAAUUGAAAACUUGGAUAGUAAAAUUAAAAUUUUAAAAAAUUUAGAUAAAUUGAUUCAAAAUAGUCUAUAGUUCAGACAAGUUGUAAAUAUUUGUCACCUUUGAAAUGGGCUUUUGAAGGGUUGAGGUUUCAUGAUUAAGUUCGCAGGUCAAGCUCCAAUUAGGGUUUUCAGAACAUCACAUGUGCACGCAGCAGGGUGGUGUAUAGCUAACUGCAGUGACGAGGUAGAAUUAGCCAAUCAGGAGGUGUCAGAGUUACUACUUUAUUUUAAGUUAGGCAUCAUUUGGAAUUGCGGAGAGAUUGCGUUACGUGCGGUGAGAAAGUACGUUGAAAAAAUACUAUAUUUGUUUCUGUACAUAAUAUUGUAUUCCGCAUAUCGCGAUACGGUCCCACCGGAGAACGCAGAAAUAUAUUCCUAUAUGUUUUUACAUUAACUCUAUUUUAUCUAAUAGUGUCAGAUUUGCUUCAAUAUCAAACUAAGUGUUACUCAGAAGGCUAAGCAUAGAAUAAUUAAAAAAUAUAUAUUA
rnacentral:lncRNA from 1 species